GUCUACAGCCAUGCCACCCUGAAUGCACCCAAUCUCAUCUGAUCUUGGAAGCUUAGCAGGGUUGGGCCUGGUUAGUUCUUGGAUGGGAGACCACCUAGGAAUACCAGAUGCUGUAGGGC
rnacentral:rRNA from 1 species